rnacentral:lncRNA from 1 species
AAAAAUUUCCAUAAAACACAGCUCUUACUUUAGAGUUUUAGAGAGGCUAAAAUUUCAGAAAAAUAUACACAAAAAGGGGGUUUUUGGAAUCUGAAAAUUCCUCCUAACAGCCUCCAAAAGUCCAGCCUCUGAAGGUUCUUCAAAAAUCAAAAAAACAAUUGGGAAAAAACUCCAAAAAACUCAAAAAUAUUGUUCUAUUGAAUUUCUUCAUAGUAAUUUAUAAUUCCAUCCUUUCAGCAGGAAUUCUUAGCCUGUUAAAAGUCCAAAAUGGCCUGAAUACCCCCUGGUUUUCAGUGGUUGAAGUUUCAAAGGCUUAUGGGUUAAUUUUCGGUUAAAAUUGGUCUAUUUGAGUCUAUUUUGGUCUGUUUAGUGGUUGUCAUCUCCGGGAUUCGAAGUUGGAAUUACUGCUGUUGUUACCUGUUGUUUAAUACUCUUAUUGGCUCACCACUGGUGCUGAUUGCUCUUUCUCUUUGUUUGUAUUUUCAAUUCUAGGUACUUUGCUUAAUCUCUAAUGACUAAAAGCCAAGCCACCUUGUAAUUGAAGUUUUGAUGUGAAGUGAAAGGCUGAUCUGGGUCUUUGAAUCGUACACAUUCAUGAUUAUUCAUAUGAUAUUGUUCAUGUACCAAAUUGCUCUUCAUAAUUUCAUGUUUUACUUAUGUACAUGUUAACUUAUUAUGUAGUUGUAGCGUUUGAGACAUAGACGACAUGGAUUUUUGACAAUUGUAAUAAUUCGACUGCUAUACUAGUGUGUAUUCAUUUAGUAGCCUUUAGCUUUAGUGUGAAUCAAUCUUGAUGUUGAUUUGAGAUUUCAUAUCGCAUCAUGGUAAUUGUUGAACUUUGAAAAAGAGUGUGGAAUUCGAAACUGAUUUUGA